rnacentral:rRNA from 1 species
GCGCCAGACUCCUACGGGAGGCAGCAGUGGGGAAUAUUGCACAAUGGGGGGAACCCUGAUGCAGCGACGCCGCGUGAGUGAAGAAGUCAUUCGUGAUGUAAAGCUCUAUCAGCAGGGAAGAAAAUGACGGUACCUGACUAAGAAGCCCCGGCUAACUACGUGCCAGCAGCCGCGGUAAUACGUAGGGGGCAAGCGUUAUCCGGAUUUACUGGGUGUAAAGGGAGCGUAGACGGCAGCGCAAGUCCGAAGUGAAAGCCCGGGGCCCAACCCCGGGACUGCUUUGGAAACUGUGAAGCUGGAGUGCGGGAGGGGCAGGCGGAAUUCCUGGUGUAGCGGUGAAAUGCGUAGAUAUCAGGAGGAACACCGGCGGCGAAGGCGGCCUGCUGGACCGUAACUGACGUUGAGGCUCGAAAGCGUGGGGAGCAAACAGGAUUAGAUACCCUAGUAC